CCUACGGGAGGCAGCAGUGAGGAAUAUUGGUCAAUGGACGAGAGUCUGAACCAGCCAAGUAGCGUGAAGGAUGACUGCCCUAUGGGUUGUAAACUUCUUUUAUAUGGGAAUAAAAUGUUCCACGUGUGGGAUUUUGUAUGUACCAUAUGAAUAAGGAUCGGCUAACUCCGUGCCAGCAGCCACGGUAAUACGGAGGAUCCGAGCGUUAUCCGGAUUUAUUGGGGUUAAAGGGAGCGUAGGUGGAUUGUUAAGUCAGUUGUGAAAGUUUGCGGCUCAACCGUAAAAUUGCAGUUGAAACUGGCAGUCUUGAGUACAGUAGAGGUGGGCGGAAUUCGUGGUGUAGCGGUGAAAUGCUUAGAUAUCACGAAGAACUCCGAUUGCGAAGGCAGUUCACUGGACUGCAACUGACAUUGAGGCUCGAAAGUGUGGGUAUCAAACAGGAUUAGAUACCCCUGUAGUC
rnacentral:rRNA from 1 species